GACGAACGCUGGCGGCGUGCUUAACACAUGCAAGUCGAACGGAAAGGCCCUGCUUUUGUGGGGUGCUCGAGUGGCGAACGGGUGAGUAACACGUGAGUAACCUGCCCUUGACUUUGGGAUAACUUCAGGAAACUGGGGCUAAUACCGGAUAGGAGCUCCUGCUGCAUGGUGGGGGUUGGAAAGUUUCGGCGGUUGGGGAUGGACUCGCGGCUUAUCAGCUUGUUGGUGGGGUAGUGGCUUACCAAGGCUUUGACGGGUAGCCGGCCUGAGAGGGUGACCGGCAACAUUGGGACUGAGAUACGGCCCAGACUCCUACGGGAGGCAGCAGUGGGGAAUAUAGCACAAUGGGAGGAAGCCUGAUGCAGCAACGCCGCGUGCGGGAUGACGGCCUUCGGGUUGUAAACCGCUUUCGCCUGUGACGAAGCGUGAGUGACGGUAAUGGGUAAAGAAGCACCGGCUAACUACGUG
rnacentral:rRNA from 1 species